CCCUUAGAUGUUCUGGGCUGCACGCGCGCUACAAUGAUAAACUCAACGAGUAUUUUUAUUAAUUUAAUAUUGCUGCAUAGGAAUGUGUGGCUAAUCUUAAACGUUUAUCGUGCUUGGGAUAGAUGAUUGCAAUUAUUUAUCUUGAACCAGGAAUUCCUAGUAAUCGUAUAUCAUCAGUGUGCGAUGAUUACGUCCCUGCCCCUUGUACACACCGCCCGUCGCUGCUACCGAUUGGAUGUCCGGUGAAAUCCUCGGAUAUUAUUGAAUACUUUAAACUUGUGUUAAAGUUCAUUGAUGGAAGUUGAUUAAACCUUAUCAUCUAGAGGAAGCAAAAGUCGUAACA
rnacentral:rRNA from 1 species